UGUUUCGGCUAGGGGGCCAUCCCGGCUUACCAACCCGAUGCAAACUGCGAAUACCGGAGAAUGUUAUCACGGGAGACACACGGCGGGUGCUAACGUCCGUCGUGAAGAGGGAAACAACCCAGACCGCCAGCUAAGGUCCCAAAGUCAUGGUUAAGUGGGAAACGAUGUGGGAAGGCCCAGACAGCCAGGAUGUUGGCUUAGAAGCAGCCAUCAUUUAAAGAAAGCGUAAUAGCUCACUGGUCGAGUCGGCCUGCGCGGAAGAUGUAACGGGGCUAAACCAUGCACCGAAGCUGCGGCAGCGAACGUAUCACUUAAAGCGAUUCAGCGGGUUACGAUUGACGGAGCGAAGCGACGUCAAAGCGUAUACAAAGUCGAGUCGGUUUAAGGAUACGUUCGUUGGGUAGGGGAGCGUUCUGUAAGCCUGUGAAGGUGGCCUGUGAGGGUUGCUGGAGGUAUCAGAAGUGCGAAUGCUGACAUAAGUAACGAUAAAGCGGGUGAAAAGCCCGCUCGCCGGAAGACCAAGGGUUCCUGUCCAACGUUAAUCGGGGCAGGGUGAGUCGACCCCUAAGGCGAGGCCGAAAGGCGUAGUCGAUGGGAAACGGGUUAAUAUUCCCGUACUUGGUGUUACUGCGAAGGGGGGACGGAGAAGGCUAUGUUGGCCGGGCGACGGUUGUCCCGGUUUAAGCGUGUAGGUGUGUGUUCCAGGUAAAUCCGGUUCACUUUAACACUGAGGCGUGACGACGAGGCACUACGGUGCUGAAGCAACAAAUGCCCUGCUUCCAGGAAAAGCCUCUAAGCAUCAGGUAACAUCAAAUCGUACCCCAAACCGACACAGGUGGUCAGGUAGAGAAUACCAAGGCGCUUGAGAGAACUCGGGUGAAGGAACUAGGCAAAAUGGUGCCGUAACUUCGGGAGAAGGCACGCUGACACGUAGGUGAAGUGAUUUACUCAUGGAGCUGAAGUCAGUCGAAGAUACCAGCUGGCUGCAACUGUUUAUUAAAAACACAGCACUGUGCAAACACGAAAGUGGACGUAUACGGUGUGACGCCUGCCCGGUGCCGGAAGGUUAAUUGAUGGGGUCAGCGCAAGCGAAGCUCCUGAUCGAAGCCCCGGUAAACGGCGGCCGUAACUAUAACGGUCCUAAGGUAGCGAAAUUCCUUGUCGGGUAAGUUCCGACCUGCACGAAUGGCGUAAUGAUGGCCAGGCUGUCUCCACCCGAGACUCAGUGAAAUUGAACUCGCUGUGAAGAUGCAGUGUACCCGCGGCAAGACGGAAAGACCCCGUGAACCUUUACUAUAGCUUGACACUGAACAUUGAGCCUUGAUGUGUAGGAUAGGUGGGAGGCUUUGAAGUGUGGACGCCAGUCUGCAUGGAGCCGACCUUGAAAUACCACCCUUUAAUGUUUGAUGUUCUAACGUGGACCCGUUACCCGGGUUGCGGACAGUGUCUGGUGGGUAGUUUGACUGGGGCGGUCUCCUCCUAAAGAGUAACGGAGGAGCACGAAGGUUGGCUAAUCCUGGUCGGACAUCAGGAGGUUAGUGCAAUGGCAUAAGCCAGCUUGACUGCGAGCGUGACGGCGCGAGCAGGUGCGAAAGCAGGUCAUAGUGAUCCGGUGGUUCUGAAUGGAAGGGCCAUCGCUCAACGGAUAAAAGGUACUCCGGGGAUAACAGGCUGAUACCGCCCAAGAGUUCAUAUCGACGGCGGUGUUUGGCACCUCGAUGUCGGCUCAUCACAUCCUGGGGCUGAAGUAGGUCCCAAGGGUAUGGCUGUUCGCCAUUUAAAGUGGUACGCGAGCUGGGUUUAGAACGUCGUGAGACAGUUCGGUCCCUAUCUGCCGUGGGCGCUGGAGAACUGAGGGGGGCUGCUCCUAGUACGAGAGGACCGGAGUGGACGCAUCACUGGUGUUCGGGUUGUCAUGCCAAUGGCACUGCCCGGUAGCUAAAUGCGGAAGAGAUAAGUGCUGAAAGCAUCUAAGCACGAAACUUGCCCCGAGAUGAGUUCUCCCUGAGACUUAGAGUCUCCUGAAGGAACGUUGAAGACGACGACGUUGAUAGGCCGGGUGUGUAAGCGCAGCGAUGCGUUGAGCUAACCGGUACUAAUGAACCGUGAGG
rnacentral:rRNA from 1 species